rnacentral:rRNA from 1 species
UUCGCCCUUAGAGUUUGAUCCUGGCUCAGGACGAACGCUGGCGGCGUGCCUAACACAUGCAAGUCGAGCGAGUGGAGUUCUUCGGAACAAAGCUAGCGGCGGACGGGUGAGUAACACGUGGGCAACCUGCCUCAUAGAGGGGAAUAGCCUCCCGAAAGGGAGAUUAAUACCGCAUAAGAUUGUAGCUUCGCAUGAAGUAGCAAUUAAAGGAGCAAUCCGCUAUGAGAUGGGCCCGCGGCGCAUUAGCUAGUUGGUGAGGUAACGGCUCACCAAGGCGACGAUGCGUAGCCGACCUGAGAGGGUGAUCGGCCACAUUGGGACUGAGACACGGCCCAGACUCCUACGGGAGGCAGCAGUGGGGAAUAUUGCACAAUGGGGGAAACCCUGAUGCAGCAACGCCGCGUGAGUGAUGACGGCCUUCGGGUUGUAAAGCUCUGUCUUCAGGGACGAUAAUGACGGUACCUGAGGAGGAAGCCACGGCUAACUACGUGCCAGCAGCCGCGGUAAUACGUAGGUGGCGAGCGUUGUCCGGAUUUACUGGGCGUAAAGGGAGCGUAGGCGGACUUUUAAGUGAGAUGUGAAAUACCCGGGCUCAACUUGGGUGCUGCAUUUCAAACUGGAAGUCUAGAGUGCAGGAGAGGAGAAUGGAAUUCCUAGUGUAGCGGUGAAAUGCGUAGAGAUAAGGAAGAACACCAGUGGCGAAGGCGAUUCUCUGGACUGUAACUGACGCUGAGGCUCGAAAGCGUGAGGAGCAAACAGGGAUAAGAUCCCCUGGUAGUCCCCCCCGUAAACGAUGAAUACUAGGUGGAGGGGUUGUCAUGACCUCUGGGCCCGCCGCUAACCCCAUUAAGUUAUUCCCGCCUGGGGAGUACGGUCGCAAGAUUAAAACUCAAAGGAAUUGACGGGGGCCCGCACAAGCAGCGGAGCAUGUGGUUUAAUUCGAAGCAACGCGAAGAACCUUACCUAGACUUGACAUCUCCUGCAUUACCCUUAAUCGGGGAAGUUCCUUCGGGAACAGGAAGACAGGUGGUGCAUGGUUGUCGUCAGCUCGUGUCGUGAGAUGUUGGGUUAAGUCCCGCAACGAGCGCAACCCUUAUUGUUAGUUGCUACCAUUUAGUUGAGCACUCUAGCGAGACUGCCCGGGUUAACCGGGAGGAAGGUGGGGAUGACGUCAAAUCAUCAUGCCCCUUAUGUCUAGGGCUACACACGUGCUACAAUGGCAAGUACAAAGAGAAGCAAGACCGCGAGGUGGAGCAAAACUCAAAAACUUGUCUCAGUUCGGAUUGUAGGCUGAAACUCGCCUACAUGAAGCUGGAGUUGCUAGUAAUCGCGAAUCAGCAUGUCGCGGUGAAUACGUUCCCGGGCCUUGCACUCACCGCCCGUCA